rnacentral:rRNA from 1 species
UACGUAGGGAGCAAGCGUUGUCCGGAAUCAUUGGGCGUAAAGCGCGCGUAGGCGGCCUCAUAAGUCCGUUGUGAAAGUCAAAGGCUCAACCUUUGAAAGCCGAUGGAUACUGUGAGGCUAGAGUCCGGAAGAGGCGAGUGGAAUUCCUGGUGUAGCGGUGGAAUGCGCAGAUAUCAGGAGGAACACCAGCGGCGAAGGCGGCAUCCUGGACUGGUCCUGACACUCAUGAGCGAAAGCGUGGGGAGCGAUCCGG